AACGCACAUUGCGCCCGCCAGUAUUCUGGCGGGCAUGCCUGUCCGAGCGUCAUUUCAACCCUCGAACCCCUCCGGGGGAUCGGCGUUGGGGAUACGGGACCCCUCACACGGGUGCCGGCCGUUAAAACCCCUACUUUUUUAAGGUUGACCUCGGAUCAGGUAGGAAUACCCGCUGAACUUAA
rnacentral:misc_RNA from 1 species